rnacentral:hammerhead_ribozyme from 1 species
AUCCAGCUGACAAGUUCCAAAUAGAGCAAAACGCACGUCUUGGAU